UACGUAGGGGGCGAGCGUUGUCCGGAUUUAUUGGGCGUAAAGAGCGUGUAGGCGGCCAGGUAGGUCUGCUGUGAAAACUCGAGGCUUAACCUCGAGCUGUCGGCGGAAACCAUCUGGCUAGAGUCCGGAAGAGGAGAAUGGAAUUCCCGGUGUAGCGGUGAAAUGCGCAGAUAUCAGGAAGAACACCCGUGGCGAAGGCGGCUCUCUGGUACGUGACUGACGCUGAGACGCGAAAGCGUGGGGAGCGAACAGG
rnacentral:rRNA from 1 species